GAUUCUACAGGCAAAAAUGGAAAAUAUUAUGUUAUGUGGAUUAAGACCAAACAUUUCUUUAAUAGCAUGGACACGAUUUCAGAGAAUUUCCUUGAAAAACUCCUGUGUUCCGAACUGAGAGGGGAAGGAGAAAAGUCAUUUGCUGCCUACUCAGCAGACCCCCCAAGAAGGAGACUAUAUAACACUAAUAGAAGUGUCUUCUUCUUCCUCGACUUUAUCAUCUUACUGUAUAUUUGGAACAUCCUCCACUUAAAGAUGAUUAUUGUGACUUUUACUUAAUAUACCUGUCGGAUAAACAACUCAGUAUUUUACCAAAGUCAAAAUGAGAGUUAUAUCAGAAAUCUGAAACCCAAAGCAUGAACAUAACUAACCUCUGCCAGGAGCGCUCUGGGACAGGCCUUGUAUAAACAGGGAAGCGUAAAGCCUGGCUCUGACGUUUCUCCUCCAGGAGUCUGAUAUUAAGCUCCUCUAAUCUCUCAUUUCUCCUGUGAAGACUGCAAAAGGCAAAUACAUACUCA